UACGUAGGGGGCAAGCGUUGUUCGGAUUCACUGGGCGUAAAGGGCGCGUAGGCGGCAUGGCAAGUCACUUGUGAAAUCUCCGGGCUUAACUCGGAGCGGCCAAGUGAUACUGCCCUGCUAGAGUGCAGAAGGGGCAAUCGGAAUUCUCGGUGUAGCGGUGAAAUGCGUAGAUAUCGAGAGGAACACCUGAGGUGAAGACGGGUUGCUGGGCUGACACUGACGCUGAGGCGCGAAAGCUAGGGGAGCAAACGGG
rnacentral:misc_RNA from 1 species